rnacentral:lncRNA from 1 species
GUCCAUUUUCUUGACUUCCUUAUCCUUUAGUUUCUUCUCUUGGUCUCUUAGUUUUGCAGCUACUUUUUUUCUUAUGUCAUUUAUGUCAUGUCUAGUGCAUGUUUCCGAUUUUUUAUGGCACUGUGGAUCAGGUUUUUAGAGGUGUCAUUAUCAAGGGCAUCUAGGUAUGCAAUAGUAUCAUUUUGAGCCCAAAGAAUGAUGCCUUCUAUUGUAAUAGUGUUUGCAUUAGGCAUUUCCCUCUGCUUACGAUCUAAAUGCGAAAACAGCCAUUCCGGUGCGAGAUUGUGUUUUGGACAGGCAUUCAUCUCUUUACGAAUUUGAUCAGAUGCCUCAUGAAAUUUCCCCCCUGGUAGAUGAUCCACAAGUUGUCUUUGCAUGCAAAGACAAAGGCUAUGAGCAAUAAUAAUACCAUUGAACCUUAAUACUACAUUACAUUGAACAUGUUCGUUUGUUAUGAUGGCCUGGUAGUUUGCAUUUCGAACAAACUGUCUGAAGUUUGGGCGGAUGUUUACAAGUACCUUCUAAAAUACGUAGACGAUUUUGCUUGUGCAUUAUCUGUGCAAGAGCUUUACUUCCAAUCGAUCGGAAGUACCACUUGGUUACUAAUUCAUUAAGUUUUUCUAGUCCCUGUUGGCAAAAAUUAAAGAUAUUGCCAUGCAAUCUAAUUGCUUCUGGAAUGUGAUAUGCCAGAAUGUGCAUAUACUGUAAGGCGUCACAUCUUUUGUUAAAUAUAAAUGACUCCCAUACAAAUUUACCCAUUCUUUUGCGGCUUUUUCAAAAUUAUUGAUGUCGGUUUCUGUCAUACGCCUAUUAAGUUGAUUCAUCAGUGAUUGGAAAUUUUUCCAAGAUAAAACAAUUGCUUCUAGUUUAGGAUGUUCGGGUAUAAUUUCUUCUAAAUUUAUUUUUGACAUAAUUAAACGGUGUUCAGGGCCUGUAAAUGAUUCAUAUUUUAAUUUUCCAUCUUUCACAAAAAAGUACCAUUCUGAAAUACCAAUAUUGGCAAUAAAUAAGUGUUGACAUUUUGAUAAAUUUUCAGGUGAAAGCCGAACAUGAUUAUCUAAAUCUUGUAGGUACUUUAUUAAAUGGUAGACCAUUUGAUCAGAAAUUCGAAGAAACAAAUGUAGCGUGUCUGGCACCACAUUUACCAGCUGAAUUGAACUAAAAAGAGGCUUUGAUACACAAUUGUAAUUGUUUUUUUUCUUACCAGCCAAUGAACAAAUUUCCUCAAGAGUUCUUGCACCUUUAGAUACAUCACACAUAGACCAUUCUUUUUCCAUGUCAAAUCUCAAGUCUUUUGGGCAUUUGCACCAUAAACAGGAGUAAGAUCUAGCAAAUCCCCCUAUUCCCAUUAUUUGGUUCAGAAAUUUAAGGUCACCGCCACGGAAUUUCUCAAUUCGAAUUGUCUUUUCAUUGAUAAUAAUUGAUGUAAGAUUAUCAUAUUCUUCAAACAGUUUGCUCAAUGUAGCUUUUAAGCAUUAUUAUUUUCUGGGCACUAGACAAUAGCCAAAAGAUAAUUGCCCUGUUCAGACUUGCAAGUUUUUUUCCCUAUUAUUGUAAAUUAAAGUUUACAAAAUGUGAUUUUCUUCCCUGCACGGGUUCCAUCCCCACUCAAUUUUACUUUAGCAACUCCAUCUUUCAAUAAAUGGUCCUUAUGCGGGUCACUCAAAACAGAGUGAAGAGUUUGUUGUAUAGAGCGAAAAACACCAAUGUAUCUAUUAUCACCAACUGUUUUGUCAAUUUCUGUUAAGGGGCAUGUUUCUUUCAUUUUUUGUUUUCUUUUAAACAGUAAAUUUACUCUGGGCAAUGUAGAAUAACGUUGAGCUAUUUCAUGAUAACCUUUAAUUGGUAUAUUAAAAGAAUCAAGGACAAAAAUCAUUUCUUCAAUUUCUUUUUCCAAAGCACUGUUGUUGGCUUCAUUUUCAUCAGAAAUAGAUAUAUCUAAUAACUUGCCUUUCAUAUCCCUCAUUUUCAAAUGAAGCAGUAUAAACCCAGCAUCCAUUGCCAUAUCCUUGAAAUUGUUUUGAAUUGUGUUAAUGUUUUUAGCACGAUUUCUAUACACUUGUGACUUUUGAUAGGUUAUUUUUUUCUUAGCUUUCCCUCUCUUACAUUUCUGGAUAUUUCUAUCUCGUUUGAAUAAUUAAAUUAUUUUACAAGAUGUCAAUGACUUGUUACUGUACAGUAAGUUCUUGUGCUGUUCAUACCUACCAAUGAAUACCAUUCUCAUCAUCAUCAAUCAAAUAUUUAUAUUGUACCCUGAAGUUUGGUGAACAAAUAAAUCUUAGGUUCUGUAAUAGAGCAUCUAAAAUUAAAAAUUAAUAGCUAGUUAUUGUUUUUAUUUUUUGGACUAGGUAAAUUUAUUUAUUGGUCAAACAAAGUAAAAUUUGAUAAUCGGUAUCAAAAUUGUUGAAAUUGUAUUGAAGUGGUUAAAGGAUUCUUUUCAUGACAUUUCUUUGCUAGAGGAUCAAUGGCAUAUGAGAUAAGAAAAAAUUGAGAAACUUGAGCAUCAAUGUAACACUUGUCUUGCAAUUGUGCAUCUGCAGCAAUACAUUAAUCAUGACCUGCGACCCGUGGACAACCAGUGGGGUAAACUCGUCACAAUUGUCUAUGACACAUGGAUCAGCUUAUGGACAAAUCAAAUACUGAGACCACAAACUUUUGAAUUGCAAGAACUUUGCGGUAUACUGCUAUGAAUGCUUGGACACAAACAGAUUGGACCUUCAGGUCCCCGCAGAGAUUCUACCAGUCUUCUCCCUCAAAAGAGUUGGUGCAGAUUAAACAAGCUGAUUACUUGUCAUGCUAAGAACAUGAAACAAACCAACACCUGCCUAUGAUAUGGGGCUAGUAAGCAAACUUGAUGGUGGAAUCGACUAUGACCCUACAGCAAUCAGUGAUUAUUAGACCUAGAUAUUAUGAUGUGUAUGAUUCACUGUACAAUGCAUAGUGAGGGUAACAGGUUGGUUGUCCCACAAGAACUUCAUUGAACAACUCAUUGCAAUCACUGAAUUUACAUCCGCUGACCUAUCAAAUCAAUGCAGGAUCGUAUACAGGUGACACAAAGGAGGAAAACAUUACUGAGCAAUCUUUACAAGGCAUCUGAUCUCUAUAUUGGAGUUCAACUUGUUUCAUCUGAUCUGUGACAGGUCCUGCAAAUGUGACAUGAUUGUUGGCAUCUGUCGAUCAAUUUUGAUACCCAACACAAAGAGUGGGUAGCUCUGAACUUUCUUCAAAAGCCAUAUUUUGUUUAAAGUGAAAAUCUUUGGCAACGAGUGACUGUAUGCUGGAAUGAACAGAAUUUAUGAUUGAACCAGAAAACUGCAAUAAUAAAUGUAUUAUCCACAAUUGAUGAUUGAUUCGAAGUAUGAAAUUUUAUAAAGAAAUUGGACAUCAAGAUCAUUUCAUUAGAGACUGUGGAUGACAUGGCUGAAUUUCUUAUCUCAUUAUGACCAUUGGGAUCCUUAGACCUUAAAUAAUAAAAAGAAAGACAGAAAACACCAUAUCUUGAUGAACUUUUUACUGCAUACUGAAAUGUUCCAUAAUGUGACCAGGAAAAUUGUACAUAUAUAUAUAAAGUAUUUAUUUUCCAUUGGAUUGAAAACAUCAAUUUUGGCCGUCAUCAAAUGUCAGCUACAAAAUAGCAAAGGAAUGGAUACAAAGUUGAAAGGAAAAGAGAGGAUACAAUGAGGUGGUCAAUCAUGGCAUAAGACUGCUCUAUAACAGUAGACAAAGUAACUCCUGGAAAAAUGUGUCGGCUUAAUAAAAACUUAAUUUGUGUACAGUAUUGAGACAUCCACUUUGGUAUCGCACUACUUUUGGUAUUACACUACUUUUGGUAUUAGGUGUUCUUGUCCAUCAACAACUUCAAGGCGGAGGUUGCCCACCUGACUGGUUUGUCCAAGACGAGACUGAAGUCCUAAUACAAUAAUUUAUAUGAUAAGUCAAUCGUGACGUCAUCACUGCAACUCCAAUGUCUAUCCCCCGCAGUCCACUAAUUUUUCAAUUAGUGGAUGCUUGGUUAGAUUUUUUUUAGGUUUGUGUACAAAAGAAAAGUCUUAUUAUUUCGUCACCGCGAAGACAUCGUGCACUUUGAUGAAAAUUGAAUUGUAAUUGAUAAUCACUUUCAUAAAAUAAGUUUAAUUCAAUAUUAAAUAUGAACAAUUAAGGAAUUCAUUGAAUCAAUGGACCCUCAUGAACAAAACAAAAACUGAAGAUUUAACCUGAUUUUCUCACCUUGCAUUUUCAUAUUUAUUAUUUAAAUUUUUUAUUUUCUUAAGUUUCUUUUAAUGUUCCUUUUAAAUAUUUUUUAAUUUGUAGUUAAGUUAUCAUUAUUUUUGGUUACAAUGUGUAUAUAUCUGCUUUUAACAUUUUGUAGUUAAGAACUGAACCACUUUGGAAAGUAAUACUAUGUAUUGAAAGUGUAUAUUCAGUAUAAAGAAAGAAUAAAUAAAUAAAAUAGCAUUACAAACAAGUUCUUUCUAACACAAUGCAAAUUACAAGAGUUAUUCAUCGUAUACGUACUGUACUGCUGAUGUGUAGUUAACGCGUACUGCAGGAGCACAAAUCAGCAUACACACAGCUGAAUGUAAAUAGGCACACAGUAUACUGAUCCUAUCACUAUAGCAACCGAUGACUGCUUUGUUUGUUAUCAAAAACUAAAAUUUAAAGACGGCGAUUGAUUUAUAAAGCAAUUAGUAGAGCAUGCAUCGUACA